GGACGUGCCAUAGCUCAAUAGUAGAGCAUUUGUCUUCCAUGCAGAAGGUCCCAGGUUCAAUAUCAGACAUCUCCA